GAUGAACGCUGGCGGCGUGCCUAAUACAUGCAAGUCGAGCGAACGGACGAGACGCUUGCUUCUCUGAUGUUAGCGGCGGACGGGUGAGUAACACGUGGAUAACCUACCUAUAAGACUGGGAUCACUUCGGGAAACCGGAGCUAAUACCGGAUAAUAUUUUGAACCGCAUGGUUCAAAAGUGAAAGACGGUCUUGCUGUCUCUUAUAGAUGGAUCCGCGCUGCAUUAGCUAGUUGGUAAGGUAACGGCUUACCAAGGCAACGAUGCAUAGCCGACCUGAGAGGGUGAUCGGCCACACUGGAACUUAGACACGGUCCAGACUCCUACGGGAGGCAGCAGUAGGGAAUCUGCCGCAAUGGGCGAAAGCCUGACGGAGCAACGCCGCGUGAGUGAUGAAGAUCUUCGGAUCGUAAAACUCUGUUAUUAGGGAAGAACAUAUGUGUAAGUAACUGUGCACAUCUUGACGGUACCUAAUCAGAAAGCCACGGCUAACUACGUG
rnacentral:rRNA from 1 species